AAGUCGUAACAAGGUUUCCGUAGGUGAACCUGCGGAAGGAUCAUUACAAUACGUUUCACACGUAUCAACCAAACGUUGAACCGAAAGCGUCCGAUAGGAGAAUGGGUUCAUGGGCCGGCGGCUUUGAGGUGGAUUUACCAAAACAAUCAAAACUUAGGUUUUGAGGUAAUCAAAAGUGCCUCGGUCGGUUCUUUUCGCUUCUUCGGAAGUGAAAGCCCUUUUCCUAGUUCGCGUAUUUAUCCAUUCACACACUUUUGGUUGCCUUUUUUCCAUUUUUAACCCCUUUCACCUUUUUAAAUUUUAACACUAUUUUGAACUGAUUUCGAGUUCAGCUAACGUUGAGCUCGGUCAUUUUUUACGAAACGUAAGAACAACUCUUAACAACGGAUAUCUUGGCUCUC
rnacentral:misc_RNA from 1 species